rnacentral:rRNA from 2 species
GUUGGUGAACCAGCGGAGGGAUCAUUAUUGAGUUAUUAUAAACUCCUUAAACCCAUGUGAACUUACCACUUUGUUGCCUCGGCAGCAGACCUCUUCGUUUUUACGGGUGGUCCUGCCGAUGGACCAAUCUAAACUCUUGUUUUAUAUGCCAUUCUGAAUUAUUAAACUUAAUAAGUUAAAACUUUCAACAACGGAUCUCUUGGUUCUGGCAUCGAUGAAGAACGCAGCGAAAUGCGAUAAAUAAUGUGAAUUGCAGAAUUCAGUGAAUCAUCGAGUUUUUGAACGCACAUUGCGCCCAUUAGUAUUCUAGUGGGCAUGCCUGUUCGAGCGUCAUUACAACCUUUAAGCCUAGCUUAGUGUUGGGAAUCUACCUAACUGGUAGUUCCUUAAAGUCAGUGGCAGAGUCUCGGUUGCACUCUAAGCGUAGUAAUUUCUUCUCGCUUUUGUAGUCGCCUUGGCUGUAGCCAUAAACCUUUAUCUUUCUAUGGUUGACCUCGGAUCAGGUAGGAAU